GCCAGGCGUGGUAGCGCGCGCCUGUAAUCCCAGCUACUUAGGAGGCUGAGGCAGGAGAAUCGCUUGAACCCAGGAGGUAGAGGUUGCAGUGAGCCGAGAUCAUGCCACUGCACUCCAGCCUGGGCCACAGAGCGAGAUUCUGUCUCAA
rnacentral:SRP_RNA from 1 species